rnacentral:misc_RNA from 1 species
AGAUGGAGAAGAUCUGAGCA